rnacentral:rRNA from 1 species
UACGUAGGGUGCAAGCGUUGUCCGGAAUUAUUGGGCGUAAAGAGCUUGUAGGCGGUUUGUCGCGUCUGCUGUGAAAUUUCGGGGCUCAACCCCGAACUUGCAGUGGGUACGGGCAGACUAGAGUGUGGUAGGGGAGACUGGAAUUCCUGGUGUAGCGGUGAAAUGCGCAGAUAUCAGGAGGAACACCUGCGGCGAAGGCGGGUUGCUGGGCCGACACUGACGCUGAUGCGCGAAAGCUAGGGGAGCGAACGGG